AGCUAAGAAUCUUCCGCAAUGGACGCAAGUCUGACGGAGCGACGCCGCGUGUGCGAAGAAUGUCGAGAGAUUGUAAAGCACUUUUAUAUGUGAGGAAUAACAGUAUCAGGAAAUGGGUAUUGGAUGACGUUAGCAUAUGAAUAAGCUCCGGCCAAUUACGUGCCAGCAGCCGCGGUAACACGUAAGGAGCGAGCGUUGUUCGGAAUUAUUGGGCGUAAAGGGCAUGUAGGCGGUUUUGUAAGUCCGAUGUGAAAGCGUGCAGCUUAACUGCAUUGUUGCGUUGGAAACUGCGAGACUAGAAUCCGAGAGGGGUAAGUGGAAUUCCUAGUGUAGGGGUGAAAUCUGUUGAUAUUAGGAAGAACACCAGAGGCGAAGGCGACUUGCUGGCUCUGGAUUGACGCUGAGGUGCGAAAGCGUAGGUAGCGAA
rnacentral:rRNA from 1 species